rnacentral:sRNA from 1 species
GCAUGGCCCAGCCCUCCCUGCCCCGCUCAGACCGAGCUCUCAAGCUCCGAAGCUGCCUUCUCCUCUCCAAUCGCCAAGUUCCCAGAGGAAGAAGAUUGGCGUGUUCUUGCUGUCUUCCUGGGAAGGAACCGGAGUUACAAGGGAACCCAGGGAUGUCACUUCUAAAGGCAGUACCUAGCCAGAGAGACAUUUAGCCCAGAAGUGCCUCUUCCUUGUUCGUCACACAGGCUGGAGACACUGAUGUCUCCAUCCCAUCAAAGGAAAAGAUAUAUACAGACAGACAGACAGACAGACAGACACACACACACACACACACACACACACACACACGUGCAUACCCUCCAUAUGAAAGGACAAAUGUUACCAGGGACAGAGAAAGCUGACAGGGGUCUUAUAGUAAAACGGAACCUGGGCUAUGUGUGUCUGAUACUGCCUUGCCAUAUGGUGCCUUUUUAAGGCCUGUCCAAUCCCAGAUUACUUCUGUUUGCCACAAACUGGAAACACUCACCUACUGUCUUGGUAAAGAACUCGAGGUCACUCAGCUGGCAACAAAAGAGCCUAUUACAGCCUGGUGAGCAGGUGAGUGUCCUGGGGUCAGCCUGUUUGCUUUGGGAAGACUCUUUUCGUCAGUUUCGAUAUAACUGAUCAUCUGUCGCUCCACAGCCUUGCUGAGAGGACCUGAUGUGGAUAUUUAACCUCUUCAUCUAGAAACCUUUCUCUCCUCAAUGGUCAUGGAGGAUUGAGCCUCCCAAGGCCUUAAUAGUAUCCGUGCGAGCUUUACACCAGAUGUAGUUUUCCUUUGGCGUCUCAAAUGGCUGCCAUUUUGGUGACUUCUGGAGCUGAGAUGCUGCCUGCUGGCUUCAACAGGGCUGGUGGUCCCUUCCCUAGCAUAUGGGAAGGGGCCUGCUGACAUAGCCCUGGCUUACUUUCCACUUGGGUAAUUACAUUCUGCAGACUUGCAAGUUUCCCACCAGGUCCAUCUUUUGGAACAGAAUGCCUUCUCUGUGCUGGGUUGCUGGCCUGCCCUCUGAGAUGGGAAUGGCCGAUGGAUUGCAUUUCAAGCUGCAGGAAGUGCAGAACCAGGUGCAAACGCUUUCUCCUACCAAGUGCAGCUUCUCGCCUCGGAAUGAGCUGUAGGCCAAACCUCCACUGUCCAGGAUGAACUGUGCCUGUAGCAAGCUGAACAGUGACUGACCCUCUGCUAAAAAUUGAAGGCGCGUCCCAGUCUGGGGUGGCCCUCAGACUUUGCUGCUCGCCUGACCAUCCCACCGACUGUUCUCUACACAGACAUAAGAACAGCCUUCUUACGACUUAGUCCUUUGCCACUUGUCUGCAGUCCCCCAGCGGAUGAACCUCAAGCUGCUUGGAAACACUAGCGAUGAAAACGGUCUCUAAACCGUGGCAGAGAAAAAAGAAAGAAAGAAAAGAAAGCAAGCAUUGCCAGGCUCUGCUGCUGUCUCCGUGGGUCAUUCCCACUCCCAAGGAUUUCCGUGUCGGUUCUGAUCAAUCAGGAUGGUGGGAGGUGACCCAGUUUCACAGCAUCUGAAGCCAUUCCAUUUUUCUGUGAUACAAUUCCAUUGUGGGCCAAGCAGAAAGGUCCGGCAGAGAGACGCACACCUUCUCUUAAAAUGCCUUCUUCAGAGAAGUUGUUUCUCAGACAGGAGGAAAAAGAAAUCUGAAGCAUGUGUCCUGGGCUGAAACUCUCCCCUGGUUACCAACCUUCCCGAGCACAAGGUGGGAUGGUCUAAGAGUCUGACCUUUCGGGACUAAGAACAUGUAGAGCUGAGAAGGAAUUCAAACCAGUCUGUUUUUUUAAGCACUGGUGAUAUAACCUGUGAAACCCACAACACUGUAAAACUGGUAAUUUGUAAAUUCCUCGGUGGCACAGAAAACUAAUCUGGCAAAGAGAAAAACAGUGAAUGAUAUUCACUUUCUCCACAACUCUUUCCUUUGUUUACGAUCACAGCAAUGCCUUCUUUGAUAAGCAACUCAAAAAUCAAAGAAAAACCACCAGCCAGAGGAGACAAUAAGUCCAGUCAAAAGAGAUUUGGGACCUACCUUUAAUCCCUAAUAAUGGUCCAGAAAACCGUUUCCUUCUUGCUUUUAUAGUGUCUUCGACAAGUCCAGCGGAGGCACUAGCCGGGCAAGCAAUUUUAUGCUGGCCUCUUCAGAUAGCUUUGUGUAAUUUACAUUAUUUUUAAUUUCAGUAAUAGUAACUAGCGGGCUCAGGCAAUAAGCACUUUUUAACAAUGAAUAAAUAAAGAAACCUCUCAUAUUUCAAUUAAGUAAUGGAACGAAAUCAUAAUGAGAAUGGCUGUUUCAUUUUAGUCGGCUGUUGCCCAAAGAAUGUUCAUUAGACACGUUGCACUGUUAAUAUUUGUAAUGUUUGCACUAAUAUAAUUCAUAUUAUGGCGUUCACGGUAAUAUUGGGGAGUUUGGAGAACACUAAUCUCUCAUAGAGUGAGCCAUUGCACCAACACAGAAUCCUGUUUUCAUUGGACCAACAGGGUCACCCUUGGCUUGAAAAAAAUCGUUAUUUUUAAUCUGCGUGUAUUUGUCUGUGUAGGGUGUCUGUGCGCCACAGUGUGCAUGCGGAGGUCAGAAGACAGCCUCGGGUAUCAGUCCUUGCUUUCAGUCUUGUUGAGGAUGGUUCUCCGCCUGGACACUGCAGUGCGUGGCACCUUAGCUGGGCUGUGUCAUUCCGGGAUUCUCCUGUCUCUGUCUCUCCUCUCGUGUAGGAACACUGGGGCCGUACCACACAUGCAACCAAACUCAGCCUUGUGUGGAUUCUGGGGAUCCAAAGGCUCGCAGAGCAAACACAUUACCCACUGACCCCCCUCCCUAACCCUGCCUUUGCCUUCUUAAUUCUUGUCGUUUGAUAGAUGUGAGGGAACGAGGGCUGAGGGUUGAAGAGAUGCGGUUGGCCCCGUUUACUUAGACAUCUAAAAAAGUUAUCCAGCCUCUGCUCUGUUUUUAGGUUAUAUACCGGAGAAUGCAAGGUCAUGUGACUAAGGAUAUAUUUAGUUAGGUGGGAGUGUAUACAUACAUCAUUCUAGCCAAUAAUGGUACUGACGAAGCCAACUACUAUUUUUUUUCUCAGAUUAUAACACAUAGUGAUUAUUUAUGAAAACCUCCUGUAGCUCUUCUGGAUUAAAUGCAAGUUUCAGAACAUGUGUGUAUACUACACAGAGAGUGCUUACUCUGGUUCGAACGCAUUUGAAGUUGGUUGUGGCAGUACAUACUUUCUAUCCUAGCACUAUGGAUGCUGAGACAGAAGGGUGGCAAGUUCAAGGCGUGUGUGGGACACAUAGUGAGACUACAUCUUUUUAAAAGUUGCUUAUAUGGGGCUGGAGUGAUGGCUCAGCAAUUCAGAGCAUUUGUUGAUCUUUCAAAGGACCUGAGUUCAGAACCCAGUACCCACAGUGGUUCAGGGCUGUGGUUCCAGGGAAUCUGAUCUCCCCAUCCUGGCCUCAGGGUCACAUGUGGUCACAUACACACAUUCAGGCAAAUAUGAUUUUAAAUACAUUAUUUUAAAGCAAUAGUUAUUUUUACAUGACUCAUUGUUUGAAUUCAUUUCAAAGAGGCAAAAUAAUGUAUGAUUAUAUAUAAUUUUAAUAGCAUGAAUUCACCCUAUCUCUUUGGUCCACAAAUAUUUAUGAAUUUUAUAAUUUCAUGCACACUCCUUCCAGUUUGAGACUGUCUGAAAGAUGAUCCAUCCUGUCAUUUAAGACAUUAAAGCACUGUAUGGGGCUGGAGAGAUGGCUCAUUUGAUUAAGAGCACUGACUGCUCUUCCAGAGGUCCUGAGU